CUCGUUAUCUAAUUAUGAGCUGUAUUCAGAGCCUGUCGUUGUUAGUGUUUUCUUAGCGUACAUAUAUUGUUUGUAUAAUUUUGAAGUCAAUAGUAUGAUGCCCGAAAAUUUGAAAACGAAUGUGCCUGUACUCUACAUAUCUGACUGAAACUUGCUAAACAAAUCUCGUCAUGGCAUUUCGUCUUCCCUUGAGGUCACUUUCACGAGUCGUUCCAAGAAGGCUUUUUGCUCCUCCUGCUUCCAUCAGUCGGUCUUCUUUCGCAACGCUCGCUGAGAUUAUAUGCUGAUGAUACAUCUUCAACUGCUUCUGGAAGUGAUCUUGACAGUUUAUUGCGUGAAAUUAACAAUCAUUUACCA